ensembl:lncRNA
ACCUUUGUGUGUCAUUAAAUACACAAACGCUCAUUAACUCAAGAUCAUUGUUGUUUCACUUCAUUCAAGUCAACGAGUAAUAAAGAACAUGUGAUUCUCUUUGGUCUGAAGAAAACAAGACGGAUUCAUUUGGUUUUAUUUUUAUUAAAAUUUAUUUUCAUUGUUAAAAUAAUAAACAGACGACAUAUUUAACAAUAAUAAUAACACAAUCAUUGGGAAAAACAUCUAAAGCAGUUCCUGAGAAGAGAGAAAAGAAGAAAAGUUAUUAACAUGUUAAUGUUGUUAGUGUAUCUGUGUGUACAUCUAAUUGUUAGUGUGUCUGUGUGUACAUCUAAAUGUUAGUGUGUCUGUGUGUACAUCUAAAUAUUAAUAUGUCUUUGUGUACAUCUAAAUAUUAGUGUGUGUCUUUGUUUAGUACCGAAUGUUAGUGUGUCUGUGUGUACAUCUAAAUAUUAGUGUGUGUCUUUGUGUACAUCUAAAUGUUAGUGUGUGUCUUUGUUUAUAACCAAAUGUUAGGGUGUCUGUGUGUACAUCUAAUUGUUAGUGUGUCUGUGUGUACAUCUAAUUGUUAGUGUGUCCCGAUGACGUAGCGUCCCGAUGACGUGGCGUCCUGAUGGCGUCCUGAUGGCGUCCUGUUGGUCUGCAGACAAGGAGAAGAGACGUGAGGAGGAUCAUCAGGAUGUGUCCGUGUGUACAUCUAAUUGUUAGUGUGUCUGUGUGUACAUCUAAUUGUUAGUGGGUCUGUGUGUACAUUUAAAUAUUAAUGUGUCCUUGUGCAGAACCAGAUGUUUGUGUGUUUUUGUGUACUUCUGAAUACUAAUGUGUCUGUGUGUACAUCUAAUUGUUAUUGUGUCUUUGUGUACAUCUAAAUAUUAGCGUGUGUCUUUGUUUAGAACCAAAUGAUAGUGUGUCUGUGUGUAUAUCUAAUUGUUAAUGUGUCUUUGUGUACAUCUAAAUGUUAGUGUGUGUCUUUGUUUAGAACCAAAUGUUAGUGUGUCUGUGUGUACAUCUAAUUGUUAGUGUGUCUGUGUGUGGAUCUAAAUAUUAAUGUGUCUUUGUGUACAUCUAAAUGUUAGUCUGUGUCUUUGUUUAGAACCAAAUGAUAGUGUGUCUGUGUGUACAUCUAAUUGUUAUUGUGUCUUUUUGUACAUCUAAAUGUUAGUGUGUGUCUUUGUUUAGAACCAAAUAAUAGUGUGUCUGUGUGUACAUCUAAUUGUACAUCUAAAUUUGCCAGCGUGUCUAAAUGUUAGUGUGUCUCUGAGUACAUCUGUGUGUGUGUGUGUGUGUGUCAUGAGUGGAUCUGGAUUUGCUCCUGAGGGGUUGACGCGGCGUCCUGAUGGAAUCCUGAUGGCGUCCCGAUGACGUGGCGUCCUGAUGACGUAGCGUCCCGAUGACGUGGCGUCCUGAUGGCGUCUUGUUGGUCUGCAGACAAGGAGAAGAGACGUGAGGAGGAUAAUCAGGAUGUGCCUGUGUGUACAUCUAAUUGUUAGUGUGUCUGUGUGUAGAUCUAAUUGUUAGUGUGUCCGUGUCUACAUCUAAUUGUUAGUGCGUCUGUGUGUAGAUCUAAUUGUUAGUGUGUCUGUGUGUAGAUCUAAUUAGUGGGUCUGUGUGUACAUUUAAAUAUUAAUGUGUCUUUGUGCAGAACCAGAUGUUUGUGUGUUUUUGUGUACUUCUGAAUACUAAUGUGUCUGUGUGUACAUCUAAUUGUUAUUGUGUCUUUGUGUACAUCUAAAUAUUAGUGUGUGUCUUUGUUUAGAACCAAAUGAUAGUGUGUCUGUGUGUAUAUCUAAUUGUUAUUGUGUCUUUGUGUACAUCUAAAUAUUAGUGUGUGUCAUUGUUUAGAACCAAAUGAUAGUGUGUCUGUGUGUACAUCUAAAUAUGAAUGUGUCUUUGUGUACAUCUAAAUGUUAGUGUGUGUCUUUGUUUAGAACCAAAUGUUAGUGUGUCUGUGUGUACAUCUAAAUGUUAGUGUGUCUGUGUGUACAUCUAAAAUGUUAGUGUGUCUGUGUGUACAUAUAAAUAAUAAUAUGUCUUUGUGCACAUCUAAAUAUUAGUGUGUCCUUGUUUAGAACCAAAUGAUAGUGUGUCUGUGUGUACAUCUAAUUGUUAUUGUGUCUUUGUGUACAUCUAAAUGUUAGUGUGUGUCUUUGUUGAGAACCAAAUAAUAGUGUGUCUGUGUGUACAUCUAAUUGUACAUCUAAAUUUGCCAGCGUGUCUAAAUGUUAGUGUGUCUCUGAGUACAUCUGUGUGUGUGUGUGUGUCAUGAGUGGAUCUGGAUUUGCUCCUGAGGGGUUGACGCGGCGUCCUGAUGGCGUCCUGAUGGAAUCCUGAUGGAAUCCUGAUGGCGUCCCGAUGACGUAGCGUCCCGAUGACGUGGCGUCCUGAUGGCGUCCUGAUGGCGUCCUGUUGGUCUGCAGACAAGGAGAAGAGACGUGAGGAGGAUAAUCAGGAUGUGUCUGUGUGUACAUCUAAUUGUUAGUGUGUCUGUGUGUAGAUCUAAUUGUUAGUGUGUCCAUCUAAUUGUUAGUGUGUCUGUGUGUAGAUCUAAUUAGUGGUGUGUCUGUGUGUACAUCUAAUUGUUAGUGUGUCUGUGUGUACAUCUAAAUAUUAAUGUGUCUUUGUGUACAUCUAAAUGUUAGUGUGUGUCUUUGUUUAGAACAAAAUGUUAGUGUCUGUGUGUACAUCUGUGUGUGUGUGUGUGUGUGUGGGGGGGGGGGGGUG